rnacentral:rRNA from 1 species
CCUACGGGAGGCAGCAGUAGGGAAUCUUCCACAAUGGGCGAAAGCCUGAUGGAGCAACACCGCGUGAGUGAAGAAGGGCUUCGGAUCGUAAAGCGCUGUUGUUGGAGAAGAACGUGCGUGAGAGUAACUGUUCACGCAGUGACGGUAUCCAACCAGAAAGCCACGGCUAACUAUGUGCCAGCAGCCGCGGUAAUACGUAGGUGGCAAGCGUUAUCCGGAUUUAUUGGGCGUAAAGCGAGCGCAGGCGGUUGCUUAGGUCUGAUGUGAAAUCCUUCGGCUUAACCGAAGAAGUGCAUCGGAAACCGGGAGACUUGAGUGCAGAAGAGGACAGUGGAACUCCAUGUGUAGCGGUGGAAUGCGUAGAUAUAUGGAAGAACACCAGUGGCGAAGGCGGCUGUCUGGUC